ensembl:lncRNA
AGGAGGAGGAUGAUUAUGGGGUGAUGAUAAUAAUGAUAAUGAUGGUGAUGACAGUGAUGAUGAAGAUGGUGAUGAUGAAGAUGAUGGUGAUGAUGAUGAUGGUAAUAAUGAUGGGAUGAUGAUGGUGAUGAUGAUUAUGGGGUGAUGAAGGUAAUAAUGAUGAUGAAGAUGAUAGUGGUGAUGAUGAUGAUGAUGAUGAUGAUGAUGAUGAUGAUGGUGAUGAUGAAGAUGAUGAUGAUGAUGAUGAUGGUAAUAAUGAUGGGAUGAUGAUAGUUAUGAUGAUUAUGGGGUGAUGAAGGUAAUAAUGAUGAUGAAGAUGAUAGUGAUGAUGAUGAUGAUGGUGAUGAUGACAAGGAUGAUGAUGAUGAUGAUGAUGGUCAUUGGGUGAUGAUGUUAAUAAUGAUGAUGAUGGUUAUAAUGAUGAUAAGGAUGAUGAUGGUGAUGAUGAUUAUGGUGAUGAUGAAGAUGAUGAUUAUGGUGAUGAUGAGGAGGAGGAGGAUGAGGAGGAGGAGGAUGAGGAUGAUUAUGGGGUGAUGAUAAUAAUGAUAAUGAUGGUGAUGACAGUGAUGAUGAAGAUGGUGAUGAUGAAGAUGAUGGUGAUGAUGAAGAUGGUAAUAAUGAUGGGAUGAUGAUAGUGAUGAUGAUUAUGGGGUGAUGAAGGUAAUAAUGAUGAUGAAGAUGAUAGUGAUGAUGAUGAUGAUGGUGAUGAUGAUGACAAGGAUGAUGAUGAUGAUGAUGAUGGUCAUUGGGUGAUGAUGUUAAUAAUGAUGAUGAUGGUUAUAAUGAUGAUAAGGAUGAUGAUGGUGAUGAUGAUUAUGGGGUGAUGAAGGUAAUAAUGAUGAUGUUGAUGAUGGUGAAGAUGAUGAUGAUGAUGGUGAUGAUGAUGGUGAUGAUGAUGACAAGGAUGAUAGUGAUGAUGAUGAUGAUGGUGAUGAUGAUGGUGAUAAUGAUGACAAGGAUGAUGAUGGUCAUUGGGUGAUGAUGUUAAUAAUAAUGAUGAUGGUUAUAAUGAUGAUAAGGAUGAUGAUGGUGAUGAUGAUUAUGGGGUGAUGAAGGUAAUAAUGAUGAUGUUGAUGAUGGUGAUGAUGAUGGUGAUGAUGAUGACAAGGAUGAUG